rnacentral:lncRNA from 1 species
GUUUUCUUUUUUCUUUAAUUUUGUUUGUUUUUAGCACAUAGUUAAUAUUUUUGGUAGAUUUUAUUUUUUCCUUUUUAAUUUGAGUUUGAAUUUAAAUUUAACCUCUUCCUUCAAUUUAAUCUGGAUAUGAAUUUAAUUUUUAAAGAGUAUUUAUUUUAAUAUAAUAAUUAUAUUUUAGGGUUAAGUAUCAAUUUUCCCUCUAUCGAUGGUGUCCCUAUCCCGUGCAGGACCCUAUAGUCAGGGUUAGAGCUGUUUACUACCUCA